rnacentral:rRNA from 1 species
GACGAACGCUGGCGGCGUGCUUAACACAUGCAAGUCGAACGGUAAGGCUCCAGCUUGCUGGGGUACACGAGUGGCGAACGGGUGAGUAACACGUGGGUGACCUGCCCUGCACUUCGGGAUAAGCCUGGGAAACUGGGUCUAAUACCGGAUAGGACCGCACCGUGAGGGUGUGGUGGAAAGUUUUUUCGGUGUGGGAUGGGCCCGCGGCCUAUCAGCUUGUCGGUGGGGUAAUGGCCUACCAAGGCGGCGACGGGUAGCCGGCCUGAGAGGGUGGACGGCCACAUUGGGACUGAGACACGGCCCAGACUCCUACGGGAGGCAGCAGUGGGGAAUAUUGCACAAUGGGCGGAAGCCUGAUGCAGCGACGCCGCGUGGGGGAUGACGGCCUUCGGGUUGUAAACUCCUUUCACCAUCGACGAAGGGUUUCUGACGGUAGAUGGAGAAGAAGCACCGGCUAACUACGUGCCAGCAGCCGCGGUAAUACGUAGGGUGCGAGCGUUGUCCGGAAUUACUGGGCGUAAAGAGCUCGUAGGUGGUUUGUCGCGUCGUCUGUGAAAUUCCGGGGCUUGACUCCGGGCGUGCAGGCGAUACGGGCAUAACUUGAGUACUGUAGGGGAGACUGGAAUUCCUGGUGUAGCGGUGAAAUGCGCAGAUAUCAGGAGGAACACCGGUGGCGAAGGCGGGUCUCUGGGCAGUAACUGACGCUGAGGAGCGAAAGCAUGGGGAGCGAACAGGAUUAGAUACCCUGGUAGUCCAUGCCGUAAACGGUGGGCGCUAGGUGUGGGUUUCCUUCCACGGGAUCCGUGCCGUAGCUAACGCAUUAAGCGCCCCGCCUGGGGAGUACGGCCGCAAGGCUAAAACUCAAAGGAAUUGACGGGGGCCCGCACAAGCGGCGGAGCAUGUGGAUUAAUUCGAUGCAACGCGAAGAACCUUACCUGGGCUUGACAUAUACAGGAUCGCGCCAGAGAUGGUGUUUCCCUUGUGGCUUGUAUACAGGUGGUGCAUGGUUGUCGUCAGCUCGUGUCGUGAGAUGUUGGGUUAAGUCCCGCAACGAGCGCAACCCUUGUCUUAUGUUGCCAGCACGUUGUGGUGGGGACUCGUAAGAAACUGCCGGGGUUAACUCGGAGGAAGGUGGGGAUGACGUCAAAUCAUCAUGCCCCUUAUGUCCAGGGCUUCACACAUGCUACAAUGGUCGGUACAGUGGGUUGCCAGUCCGUGAGGGCGAGCUAAUCCCGCAAAGCCGGUCUCAGUUCGGAUCGGGGUCUGCAACUCGACCCCGUGAAGUCGGAGUCGCUAGUAAUCGCAGAUCAGCAACGCUGCGGUGAAUACGUUCCCGGGCCU